CAGUCGCCGCGGUAAUACGAAGGGGGCUAGCGUUGUUCGGAAUUACUGGGCGUAAAGGGCGCGUAGGCGGCCAUUCAAGUUAGAUGUGAAAGCCCUGGGCUCAACCUAGGAAUUGCAUUUGAUACUGUUUGGCUUGAGUUCGGGAGAGGUGAGUGGAAUUCCCAGUGUAGAGGUGAAAUUCGUAGAGAUGUGGAGGAACACCAGUGGCGAAGGCGACUCUCUGGUCUGUAACUGACGCUGAGGAGCGAAAGCGUGGGGAGCGAACAGGAUUAGAUACCCCAGUAGUCCCUGUCUCUUAUAC
rnacentral:rRNA from 1 species